GCUGGGUGUGGUGGUGCGUGCCUGUAGUCUUAGCUACUGGGGAGGCUGAGGCGGGAGGAUCACUUGAGUCCAGGAGUUCAAGGCUGUAGUGAGCUAUGAUUGUGCCACUGCACUUCAGCCUGGAUGACAGAGUGAGACCCUGUCUCAA
rnacentral:SRP_RNA from 1 species